AUCCUGAUAGCUCGGUUGGUCGAGCAUGAGACUCUUAAUCCCAGAGUUGUGGGUUUGAGCCCCGUGUUGGGCA